rnacentral:rRNA from 1 species
AGAGUUUGAUCCUGGCUCAGGAUGAACGCUGGCGGCGUGCCUAAUACAUGCAAGUCGAACGCUUUGUGGUUCAACUGAUUUGAAGAGCUUGCUCAGAUAUGACGAUGGACAUUGCAAAGAGUGGCGAACGGGUGAGUAACACGUGGGAAACCUACCUCUUAGCAGGGGAUAACAUUUGGAAACAGAUGCUAAUACCGUAUAACAAUGACAACCGCAUGGUUGUUAUUUAAAAGAUGGUUCUGCUAUCACUAAGAGAUGGUCCCGCGGUGCAUUAGCUAGUUGGUAAGGUAAUGGCUUACCAAGGCGAUGAUGCAUAGCCGAGUUGAGAGACUGAUCGGCCACAAUGGGACUGAGACACGGCCCAUACUCCUACGGGAGGCAGCAGUAGGGAAUCUUCCACAAUGGGCGAAAGCCUGAUGGAGCAACGCCGCGUGUGUGAUGAAGGGUUUCGGCUCGUAAAACACUGUUGUAAGAGAAGAAUGACAUUGAGAGUAACUGUUCAAUGUGUGACGGUAUCUUACCAGAAAGGAACGGCUAAAUACGUGCCAGCAGCCGCGGUAAUACGUAUGUUCCAAGCGUUAUCCGGAUUUAUUGGGCGUAAAGCGAGCGCAGACGGUUAUUUAAGUCUGAAGUGAAAGCCCUCAGCUCAACUGAGGAAUUGCUUUGGAAACUGGAUGACUUGAGUGCAGUAGAGGAAAGUGGAACUCCAUGUGUAGCGGUGAAAUGCGUAGAUAUAUGGAAGAACACCAGUGGCGAAGGCGGCUUUCUGGACUGUAACUGACGUUGAGGCUCGAAAGUGUGGGUAGCAAACAGGAUUAGAUACCCUGGUAGUCCACACCGUAAACGAUGAGUGCUAGGUGUUUGAGGGUUUCCGCCCUUAAGUGCCGCAGCUAACGCAUUAAGCACUCCGCCUGGGGAGUACGACCGCAAGGUUGAAACUCAAAGGAAUUGACGGGGACCCGCACAAGCGGUGGAGCAUGUGGUUUAAUUCGAAGCAACGCGAAGAACCUUACCAGGUCUUGACAUCCCUUGACAACUCCAGAGAUGGAGCGUUCCCUUCGGGGACAAGGUGACAGGUGGUGCAUGGUUGUCGUCAGCUCGUGUCGUGAGAUGUUGGGUUAAGUCCCGCAACGAGCGCAACCCUUAUUACUAGUUGCCAGCAUUCAGUUGGGCACUCUAGUGAGACUGCCGGUGACAAACCGGAGGAAGGUGGGGAUGACGUCAAAUCAUCAUGCCCCUUAUGACCUGGGCUACACACGUGCUACAAUGGCGUAUACAACGAGUUGCCAACCCGCGAGGGUGAGCUAAUCUCUUAAAGUACGUCUCAGUUCGGAUUGUAGGCUGCAACUCGCCUACAUGAAGUCGGAAUCGCUAGUAAUCGCGGAUCAGCACGCCGCGGUGAAUACGUUCCCGGGUCUUGCACACACCGCCCGUCA